UACGGGAGGCAGCAGUGGGGAAUAUUGCACAAUGGGCGCAAGCCUGAUGCAGCCAUGCCGCGUGUAUGAAAAAGGCCUUCGGGUUGUAAAGUACUUUCAGUCGUGAGGAAGGUGUUAAGGUUAAUAACCUUAGCAAUUGACGUUAGCGACAGAAGAAGCACCGGCUAACUCCGUGCCAGCAGCCGCGGUAAUACGGAGGGUGCGAGCGUUAAUCGGAAUUACUGGGCGUAAAGGGCACGCAGGCGGUUAAUUAAGUUGGAUGUGAAAUCCCCGGGCUUAACCUGGGAAUGGCAUUCAAGACUGGUUAGCUAGAGUCUUGUAGAGGGGGUAGAAUUCCAUGUGUAGCGGUGAAAUGCGUAGAGAUGUGGAGGAAUACCGGUGGCGAAGGCGGCCCUCUGGACAAAGACUGACGCUCAUGUGCGAAAGCGUGGGGAGCAAACAGGGAUUAGAUACC
rnacentral:rRNA from 1 species